AUACGGAGGGUGCAAGCGUUAUCCGGAAUCAUUGGGUUUAAAGGGUCCGCAGGCGGAUUAAUAAGUCAGUGGUGAAAUCCUCUCGCUCAACGAGAGAACUGCCAUUGAAACUGUUAGUCUUGAAUUCGGUCGAAGUAGGCGGAAUGUGUCAUGUAGCGGUGGAAUGCAUAGAUAUGACACAGAACACCGAUAGCGAAGGCAGCUUACUAGACCUGGAUUGACGCUCAUGGACGAAAGCGUGGGGAGCGAACAGGAUUAGAUACCCCAGUAGUCC
rnacentral:rRNA from 1 species